ACAUAUUGGAUUUUUGAGAAAUAAAGUCAAAUUUGGUUUUUAAGUAACAUAAGAGUUGUGCAUGAAAGAAUGGGGUCAUGGAAGUGUGGGACAAGGUUAAGGGUAAUUUUGGAAUUUUAGAAAUUAGUUUCGGGAAUUAUGCAAUGUGAUCUGUAAGUUAUUGGGCCAAAAAAAUUUGAAUGGAAAAUUGAGGCCCAAAAGUAGGGCAUGGCCGGCCAUGGGAAGGCCCAAACCCAUGGCCUUAUAACAUUUUUUUCAUGUGGUUAAUUGACUAAUGGACCAUAUUGUAUUAUAUAUGUGAUCUUAUCUAGUAAAUUCUAAAGAUAAGAAGCAAGAAAAUAAGAAAAGCAAGAGCAAGAAGAGAGAAGGGUUCGGGUGACCCUAAGGAAAAUUCACCAUUAAAAAUAUUGCUCCAAAAAUUCUUGUCUUGUUGAAUUUCUACUAAGUUUAGUACCCUUGUUAACUUGGUGUAGUUGGUUUGGAGAAAGGAGACCUUAUUUCAUCAAAGUGAACACAAGUUCAAGUGAAGAAGACUUGAGGAAAAGAUUUUUGACGAAACGGGAAGUGAGUUUGGAAAGGCGUAAAGAGCUUGAAAGGUACUGACGAUAGGUUUGCCGAUCCGUCUGUCUAGGAUAUCUUUUCCGCCAUUUGGAGCCCUCUUUUAUUCAGAGCCAUCUUUUGGUACAGUCUGUCACUUCUAUAUGUGUAUAUUCUGGUUCAUGGGUACGGCGGGGCCCUGUCCCGCCAUAUGAUUUUGUUGGUCCAUUUAGAGGUCUGUAGACAUGUUUGUGGGUUGGGAUCUUUCUGUACAGCUGUGUGUAUAUGUUGUG